UACGGAGGAUCCGAGCGUUAUCCGGAUUUACUGGGUUUAAAGGGUGCGUAGGCGGCCCUGCCAGUCAGCGGUGAAAUGUGGCGGCUCAACCGUUUCGCUGCCGCUGAUACUGCGGGGCUUGGAUGCGGUCGAGGCGGGUGGAAUUCGUGGUGUAUCGGUGAAAUGCAUAGAUAUCACGAGGGAAGCCGAUAGCGAAGGCAGCUCGCCGGGCCGCGAUCGACGCUGAGGCACGAAAGCGUGGGGAUCAAAAAGG
rnacentral:rRNA from 1 species